GAUGAAGAACGUAGCGAAAUGCGAUAAGUAAUGUGAAUUGCAGAAUUCAGUGAAUCAUCGAAUCUUUGAACGCACCUUGCACCCUUUGGCAUUCCGAAGGGUAUGCUCGUUUGAGUGUCAUUGUACUCUCACUCUCCCGAUCUUUGGAUCGGGAGUGGUGGACUUGGGUGUUGCUGCUUUACCGUGGCUCACCUCAAAUGGAUUCGUGCAACUCCUGGUUGGACAUAGUACGGCGUGAUAAGUGUCUUCGCCGGCACCUCACUAGAGGGUGGCUGACCGGGAGCUCUGUGCUUCAAACCGUCUUCGGACAAUCUUUGACAACUUGACCUCAAAUCGAGUAGGACUACCCGCUGAACUUAAGCAUAUCAAUAAGCGGAGGA
rnacentral:misc_RNA from 1 species